AGCGAACGCUGGCGGCAGGCUUAACACAUGCAAGUCGAACGGGCGUAGCAAUACGUCAGUGGCAGACGGGUGAGUAACGCGUGGGAACGUACCUUUUGGUUCGGAACAACCCAGGGAAACUUGGGCUAAUACCGGAUAAGCCCUUACGGGGAAAGAUUUAUCGCCGAAAGAUCGGCCCGCGUCUGAUUAGCUAGUUGGUGUGGUAACGGCGCACCAAGGCGACGAUCAGUAGCUGGUCUGAGAGGAUGAUCAGCCACAUUGGGACUGAGACACGGCCCAAACUCCUACGGGAGGCAGCAGUGGGGAAUAUUGGACAAUGGGCGCAAGCCUGAUCCAGCCAUGCCGCGUGAGUGAUGAAGGCCCUAGGGUUGUAAAGC
rnacentral:rRNA from 1 species